ACGAACGCUGGCGGCAUGCCUAACACAUGCAAGUCGCACGAGACCUUCGGGUCUAGUGGCGCACGGGUGCGUAACGCGUGGGAACCUGCCCUUAGGUUCGGAAUAACUCCCCGAAAGGGGUGCUAAUACCGGAUAAUGUCUUCGGACCAAAGAUUUAUCGCCUUUGGAUGGGCCCGCGUUGGAUUAGCUAGUUGGUAGGGUAAAAGCCUACCAAGGCGACGAUCCAUAGCUGGUCUGAGAGGAUGAUCAGCCACACUGGGACUGAGACACGGCCCAGACUCCUACGGGAGGCAGCAGUGGGGAAUAUUGGACAAUGGGCGAAAGCCUGAUCCAGCAAUGCCGCGUGAGUGAUGAAGGCCUUAGGGUUGUAAAGCUCUUUUACCCGGGAUGAUAAUGACAGUACCGGGAGAAUAAGCGCCGGCUAACUCCGUG
rnacentral:rRNA from 1 species